rnacentral:rRNA from 1 species
UACGAAGGGUGCAAGCGUUAAUCGGAAUUACUGGGCGUAAAGCGCGCGGAGGUGGUUCAGUAAGUUGGAUGUGAAAUCCCCGGGCUCAACCUGGGAACUGCAUCCAAAACUGCUGAGCUAGAGUACGGUAGAGGGUGGUGGAAUUUCCUGUGUAGCGGUGAAAUGCGUAGAUAUAGGAAGGAACACCAGUGGCGAAGGUGACCACCUGGACUGUUACUGACACUGAGGUGCGAAAGCGUGGGGAGCAAACAGG